UGGGUUGCUAACUCAAUGGUAGAGUACUCGGCUUUUAACCGAGUAGUUCCGGGUUCAAUUCCCGGGCAACCCAU
rnacentral:tRNA from 1 species